rnacentral:rRNA from 1 species
UACGUAGGGGGCAAGCGUUGUCCGGAUUUAUUGGGCGUAAAGAGCGUGUAGGCGGCCAGAUAGGUCUGUUGUGAAAACUCGAGGCUCAACCUCGAGACGCCGAUGGAAACCAUCUGGCUAGAGUCCGGAAGAGGAGAGUGGAAUUCCUGGUGUAGCGGUGAAAUGCGCAGAUAUCAGGAAGAACACCGAUGGCGAAGGCAGUUCUCUGGGACGGUACUGACGCUGAGACGCGAAAGCGUGGGGAGCGAACAGG